rnacentral:rRNA from 1 species
AUACAGAGGGUGCGAGCGUUAAUCGGAAUUACUGGGCGUAAAGCGCGCGUAGGCGGCUUGGUCAGUCGGAUGUGAAAGCCCCGGGCUCAACCUGGGAAUGGCAUUCGAUACUGCCAGGCUAGAGUAUGGGAGAGGGAAGUGGAAUUUCCGGUGUAGCGGUGAAAUGCGUAGAUAUCGGAAGGAACACCAGUGGCGAAGGCGACUUCCUGGCCCAAUACUGACGCUGAGGUGCGAAAGCGUUGGGAGCGAACAGGAUUAGAAACCCUAGUAGUCC